GUAGGUAACCUGCCUGGUAGCGGGGGAUAACUAUUGGAAACGAUAGCUAAUACCGCAUAAUAUCUUUGAUUGCAUGAUUGAAGUUUGAAAGAUGCAACUGCAUCACUACCAGAUGGACCUGCGUUGUAUUAGCUAGUAGGUGAGGUAAAGGCUCACCUAGGCGACGAUACAUAGCCGACCUGAGAGGGUGAACGGCCACACUGGGACUGAGACACGGCCCAGACUCCUACGGGAGGCAGCAGUAGGGAAUCUUCGGCAAUGGGGGCAACCCUGACCGAGCAACGCCGCGUGAGUGAAGAAGGUUUUCGGAUCGUAAAGCUCUGUUGUAAGAGAAGAACGUGUGUGAGAGUGGAAAGUUCACACAGUGACGGUAACUUACCAGAAAGGGACGGCUAACUACGUGCCAGCAGCCGCGGUAAUACGUAGGUCCUGAGCGUUAUCCGGAUUUAUUGGGCGUAAAGCGAGCGCAGGCGGUUGGAUAAGUCUGAAGUUAAAGGCUGUGGCUCAACCAUAGUAUGCUUUGGAAACUGUUCAACUUGAGUGCAGAAGGGGAGAGUGGAAUUCCAUGUGUAGCGGUGGAAUGCGUAGAUAUAUGGAGGAACACCGGUGGCGAAAGCGGCUCUCUGGUCUGUAACUGACGCUGAGGCUCGAAAGCGUGGGUAGCGAACAGGAUUAGAUACCCUGGUAGUCCACGCCGUAAACGAUGAGUGCUAGGUGUUAGGCCCUAUCCGGGGCUUAGUGCCGCAGCUAGCGCAUUAAGCACUCCGCCUGGGGAGUACGACCG
rnacentral:rRNA from 1 species